GGCUGCGAAGCACUGUGGAGUGAUAUAAAAGUCUGCUAUAGCUAUUUAGUUUUGUGAUGACCCAAAGGAGCAAAGAAACCUAAUAUUCCUUCCUCCUAUUUUCUGCUCAGCAACAAUCCUGUGAUGUAGGAUGGGCAGAGAAGGGGGAAAUAAUCCAAAGUUGCUAAAUUGUCUUUUAUGCCUAAAGUGGGACUGGAACUCAGGUUUCCUAUUUCUAGACCAUUUGAUCUUUCUAGGAAAUUUUUCACAGCUAACCUUAGUAUGAAAAGAUCUAUCAUCUAAGAU